AAUGACACGAUCACUCCCGGUUAAGCCUAAAUAAAUAUUUACCGGGAAACUUGUGUCAGUCA
rnacentral:pre_miRNA from 1 species